AUUAAACCAAUUUUUUAAUUUUUACCUAUAAUUUUUUAUUCUUCCUCUUAUUCAAAAUUUUCUUACGAUUGAUAUUUUUGUUUUUAUUAGAUGAUAAAUCAUGAACAGUACUUUACGUGUGACUAAUUUUUUUUCUAAUUUUCGCAGAAUUUUUUAAAUAAGACGGAUGGUCAAACGUUGGACACGAAAACCGGAG
rnacentral:pre_miRNA from 1 species